UUGUACACACCGCCCGUCACACCAUGAGAGUUUGUAACACCCAAAGUCGGUGAGGUAACCUUUAUAGGGGCCAGCCGCCUAAGGUGGGACAGAUGAUUAGGGUGAAGUCGUAACAAGGUAGCCGUAGGAGAACCUGCGGCUGGAUCACCUCCUUUCU
rnacentral:rRNA from 1 species